UGCCCAGACUCCUACGGGAGGCAGCAGUGAGGAAUAUUGGUCAAUGGACGAGAGUCUGAACCAGCCAAGUAGCGUGAAGGAUGACUGCCCUAUGGGUUGUAAACUUCUUUUAUAUGGGAAUAAAAUGUUCCACGUGUGGGAUUUCGUAUGUACCAUAUGAAUAAGGAUCGGCUAACUCCGUGCCAGCAGCCGCGGUAAUACGGAGGAUCCGAGCGUUAUCCGGAUUUAUUGGGUUUAAAGGGUGCGUAGGGGGGUUGUUAAGUCAGGGUUAAACGCCGGGGGCUCACCCCCGGCGAGCCGUUGAAACUGGCUGUCUUGAGAUGUCGAGAGGUAUGCGGAAUGCGCAGUGUAGCGGUGAAAUGCUUAGAUAUUGCGCAGAACUCCGAUUGCGAAGGCAGCAUACCGGCGGCGAUCUGACGCUGAGGCACGAAAGCGUGGGUAUCGAACAGGAUUAGAUACCCUGGUA
rnacentral:rRNA from 1 species